CACCGCAAUAAGGGUUUAAGGGACUCUUGAAAAUACUAUCUGUAUAUUUUGAGACUAAGUCAAUACUAUUUUACGUGAAAGACAUUUAUGAUUUCGUUACAUAAUUCAAAAAAGGAGCCUAUUUUAAAAAAUAAAACUUACUGUGUAACUGUUACCGGCGAACGACGCGCGCGUAAUGGUUGCCAACUGUCUAGUGGAUUUCCCACCGAUUUGUAGCUAAGAUCGCUCGAUUGUAAUAGCUCUACUUCCGGAACGCAUGGCGGACACGUCGGAACGUAUCAUUGUACGAGUAAUCACAUUUCAUCAUAUAUUUUAUAUAAUAAAUACUUUUGCACUUUUAACCGUGUCGUGUUCCACUGCCGCUCCCACUCCUGCCAUCAGUAACCAAUAGAUUAAACUUUCGAGAGGAUCAGAUAGUUAUACAAGCUGUGUCUUUAAAACAUGGUGUCUAGCCUUAUAUUUUUGUUUUACUAGUAGAAUUUCGUUAUAUUGCUGCAUAGUCGACUUCUUUACUCUUCAACGAUUUUUGACCUCUUUGAAUUUCGCGCAUUGGUAUAGACAAGACUGGAUUAAGAUGUCUGGGACCCGAGGCUAUCACACCUUCAAAGCGUGCUAGUAUUAAAGGGUUAAGUAACCGGAAGAACAUGCGCAGGAAUUUAUUUGCGAUAAAUUGAAAAGAUGCAUUCCAAGUGAGGGGUUACAAAAGAAGAUUUAUCUCAAAAAAUUGAAAAUUGUCGCCUGGGUAGAAGGCAUCGAUAGAUAACGUAAUAUUACUUGGGCGCAGUAAUAUAUCACGGUGAUUGAUGAUCCUACAAUAAAAUCGAUGCUGCAAUAUAGAUCGUGCAUGUUAAGGUGUAAGAUACAGGUGUACUAAUGGUAUAUUGAAAAACCCGUGAAAAAUCGUGUCUAUUGAUUUAUUCGAACAAUAGUUCACGAACUGUUUUGUGUCAGUUGAACAAACUUACGAACAUAUGUACUAUGAGAAUGAAUUUUUAUUUGCUCAGUUAAUUGGCAAUUUACACUGGGUGAUCAGAUUAUCAUGAUUUGCUUUGAAAUUUAAAUGAUAUUUAGGAAUAUUUUAAAGAGGGUAAUAUGGCCUUCUAGUUUUAUAUACCUUUGUAUUAUCUGAUUCAUAAUUUAAAUUCCUUUAAAUUAUUAAGGAAUGAUAGAAGAAAAUCAGUUUAACUAAAAAGCACAAGAUAUCAUUGUUAUACAGUAGACUCCCGUUGUAUUACCACAGACAAGGUGAUGGAGACAGAACAUUUUUUCAAGCCUCCAAACUUUCAGUUGGAGAGGAAAAUAGAGAUAAUAUUGUAUCAUUUAUGUAGGCUAUGAUGAUGAAAGUCUGGUAUGAUUGAAAAUCUGUGCGAAGAUCAAAUCGUUCAUAUGACAAUACAACGAGAGUCUACUAUAAAAAAGACUAAAUGUAUUAAAAAGAAAGAAAUUGUAUAAUAUUGAAAAUUUGCAAAACUAUGUAAAAUGAAAUUUAUGAUCACAGAAGAUAAGAAAUACAAGAAUUUCAUAGCAUGUUAUUCUAUGCAGCAGGUGCAGUAUACUGUACGAUGGGAUAACUAACAAAUGUUUUUUCAUAGAAUGGAUGUUUAUAUGAAGGCCAAUGUCAGUAAAUGUCAACCUUUAGACGGCGGAUCAUGGCGAGAAUUCAUAUUAUUAUCAUUUUCUAAAUUUUACACUGUUUCCUUAAAAAUUAUUCUUUUAAUUAUUACUCCG